rnacentral:rRNA from 1 species
GCGUGAAAUAGACCCUGAAACCAUAUGCUUACAAGAAGUCAGAGCCCGUUAAAGGGUGAUGGCGUGCCUUUUGUAGAAUGAACCGGCGAGUUACGAUAUGGAGCGAGGUUAAGCAGGAUAUGCGGAGCCGAAGCGAAAGCGAGUCUUAAUAGGGCGAAAGUUGCAUGUCGUAGACCCGAAACCGAGUGAUCUAGCCAUGACCAGGUUGAAGUUGGGGUAAAACCCGAUGGAGGACCGAACCGACCCCCGUUGAAACGUUGGCGGAUGAGUUGUGGCUAGGGGUGAAAUUCCAAUCGAACCCGGAGAUAGCUGGUUCUCCCCGAAAUAGCUUUAGGGCUAGCGUCGAGAGAAGAGUUGCGUGAAGGUAGAGCACUGAAUAUGUGAUGGCCCCAUCUCGGGGUACUGAGCAUAAUCAAACUGCGAAUGUCACGCCAACAUGCUCGGCAGUCAGACAGCGGGUGAUAAGGUCCGUUGUCAAGAGGGAAACAGCCCAGACCAUCAGCUAAGGUCCCAAAAUGUAUGCUAAGUGGAAAAGGAUGUGGAGAUGUACAGACAACUAGGAGGUUGGCUCAGAAGCAGCCAUCCUUUAAAGAGUGCGUAACAGCUCACUAGUCGAAUGACUCUGCGCCGAUAAUUUACCGGGGCUAAGCAUACUACCGAAGCUAUGGAUCCCAAGGGAUGGUAGGGGAGCGUUCCAUGAACGGAGAAGUACGACCGAAAGGACGUGUGGAGAUCAUGGAAGAGAGAAUGCCGGUGUGAGUAGCGGAACGUGGGUGAGAAUCCCACGCACCGAAAACCCAAGGUUUCCAGAGGAAGGUUCGUCCGCUCUGGGUAAGUCGGGACCUAAGGCGAGGCCGAAAGGCGUAGUCGAUGGACAACAGGUAGAGAUUCCUGUACCCGUAUAUAUGUGAAGGAAUGACGGAGAGAGGAAGCUGCAGCCAGCGGCUGGAAGAGCUGGUGCAAGCGAGAUAUCGGGAUGGCAGGCAAAUCCACCAUCCGAAACGAGAAGGCGUGAAGCGUACGGAAAGCUACGGCGAGUACGGAAGGCAGUGGAGGAACUUCCAAGAAAAGUUUCUAACGUUAAGUAUAUAUGGCCCGUACCGAAAAUGGACACACAUGGGUGAGGAGAGAAUCCUAAGGUGAGCGAGAGAACUAUAGCUAAGGAACUCUGCAAAAUGACUCCGUAACUUAGGGAGAAGGAGUGCUCAUAGAGAUAUGAGCCGCAGUGAAACGGCCCAAGCGACUGUUUACCAAAAACACAGCUCUCUGCUAAGCCGCAAGGCGAAGUAUAGGGGGUGACGCCUGCCCGGUGCUGGAAGGUUAAGGGGAGGGGUUAACGCAAGUGAAGCCCUGAACUGAAGCCCCAGUAAACGGCGGCCGUAACUAUAACGGUCCUAAGGUAGCGAAAUUCCUUGUCAGGUAAGUUCUGACCCGCACGAAUGG